rnacentral:rRNA from 1 species
AGCGAACGCUGGCGGCAGGCCUAACACAUGCAAGUCGAGCGCCGUAGCAAUACGGAGCGGCAGACGGGAUAGUAACACGUGGGAACGUGCCCUUUGGUUCGGAAUAACUCAGGGAAACUUGAGCUAAUACCGGAUAAGCCCCUACGGGGAAAGAUUUAUUGCCAUUAGAGCGGCCCGCGUCGGAUUAGCUAGUUGGUGAGGGAAUGGGUCACCAAGGCGACGAUCCGUAGCUGGUCUGAGAGGUUGACCAGCAUCACUGGGACUGAUACACGGACCACACACCUACGGGAGGCAGCAGUGGGGAAUAUUGGACAAUGGGCGCAAGCCUGAUCCAGCCAUGCCGCGUGGAUGAGGAAGGCCAUAGGGUUGUAAAGUCCUUUUAACGGGGAAGAUAAUGACGGUACCCGUAGAAUAAGCCCCGGCUAACUUCGUGCCAGCCGCCGCAGUAA